rnacentral:rRNA from 1 species
AUUGAACGCUGGCGGCAGGCCUAACACAUGCAAGUCGAGCGGUAGCACAGAGAGCUUGCUCUCGGGUGACGAGCGGCGGACGGGUGAGUAAUGUCUGGGAAACUGCCUGAUGGAGGGGGAUAACUACUGGAAACGGUAGCUAAUACCGCAUAACGUCGCAAGACCAAAGCGGGGGACCUUCGGGCCCCAUGCCAUCAGAUGUGCCCAGAUGGGAUUAGCUUGUAGGUGAGGUAACGGCUCACCUAGGCGACGAUCCCUAGCUGGUCUGAGAGGAUGACCAGCCACACUGGAACUGAGACACGGUCCAGACUCCCACGGGAGGCAGCAGUGGGGAAUAUUGCACAAUGGGCGCAAGCCUGAUGCAGCCAUGCCGCGUGUGUGAAGAAGGCCUUCGGGUUGUAAAGCACUUUCAGCGGGGAGGAAGGCGAUAAGGUUAAUAACCUUGUCGAUUGACGUUACCCGCAGAAGAAGCACCGGCUAACUUAGUGCCAGCCGCCGCCGUAACAC